UGCACUCAUUCAAUCACAUGAUGCAUCAUAAUAACGAGUGUACAACCGAUGUACACUCACGGCUAGCUGCUAGCCAAUAGCCAUCUAUCGUGAUGCUCGCGAUGAAUGAAUAAAUUCCCGCGUCUCGGCAGAAGAUGGCGCCCGCAGCGUUUCGAGUGUCAGAAUUUACUCACUCGUUUUCGCCCGCUCCUUAAAGUGGACUAUAUUAGUGAACUAAUGUUGGGAAUAGUUAAUGAAGGUAUAGUGGGCGAUUUCGGCCACAGCCUGAGACCUACUAACAGGAAGCGGAAGUGGCCGUUGUUGCCUAGACAACAUUAUGGCCAAUAACUGAUACACACAUCAAAAUACAGCUCUUCUUUCCAUUAAGACGCAGCAGACAGUACUUAUUCGAGGACAGGAUCCCCUGCUGUCUAUUGAGAGAUGCACAGUGUGCUGCAUAAAAUACCACUGUGCCAACUGCCUACUGUAAAAUCAUGUAGCUAAUCACAUGCAAAAUGCAGUUCAACAAGAAGAUUUGACCAUCAUCAAAUCUGGUCUAAACUGCAGACCAUCACCACAUUUUCACUGCUGCUAUUGCACUUCAACAGUAAUCAGACGGGAUGCUAUUAAUAAACAUUUGAAAACCUGUAAAAACAUCCGGACAGCCUCCAUUGCCAGCAGCACCACCACCAUCCCUAUAGCAUCAGCAUCACCACCUCCAUCGCCAGCAUCUGCAGCACCACCUCCAAAACGAUUACGUGUCCGGCAACAAAUCAGGGUGACUUGCACACACUUUGGAAUUCAGAUAUAUCAAAGGAACUUGCUGGUUCAUAUUAACAGAAGACACUGGCACAAGGUAACUGAAACUGAUUGCAUCAGUUUAUGGUUAUUUGUUAAAGCGGCAGUCCACAAGUUUUUUGGAGUAAAAAUUAGCUAAAACCAAUUAUUGAGCAAGUACAUGAAAGAACGGUGUUUGUUUAAAACUGUGUCACUACCCUUGCUGGAUUCACCACGGAAAGCUUGUAAUAAUGGUUUGUAAUUUGCCCUGUCGGGUCGACUUUUCCGGAGAUCCUUAUAUGGUGUCUUUCGUCUAUGCGUCAUUUCGUCACAUUCGUACACAGAACGAAGAGGAUCCGGCUGCUAGCCAGCGCGUGUAUGCUGCGAGUGACAGGCGGUUUAUAGCGUGUACUCACAACUGCUGGGUAGGAUUUCAUUCAACGUUUAGUAUUAUUUAUGGCGGCAUUUAGUACUUUUACUUUUAAACGCCAAGCAGUGUUGACAUCUGGGGAUUCAUCAUAUUUUGUGAAAAACAAGAAAGAACGAACUGAAGACGAAUAAGAAACAGGGAAUGUGAUCAGACUCGUGCGAAAAUUCAUAUUGGCAAGGCAUUUCAAAGGUGGCGGGAACUCCGUGAUCUGAAAGGAUUGUAAACGGAUGCAGACAUCGUUUUAUUUCUUCUGAACAGGUAAGACAAAUUUUUAAUAUUUCAAUAGAUAGGCCUAACACAAAAACCAUAGCGCACUUGUUGUGUUAAUAUAGACGAGUACAGUUUUAUCGGUUGUUCUUUCUCUCUUUAUGUUCAUUAUGAUAAAUGUAAUUUAAGCCCUAUUCGCCCGGGAUUAGUAUUAUCUGGGGACCUGGUGUGAUUUAGAAAUGACCUCCCCACAUAUGUAUUUCAAGUGGCGCGAAUUAGCACGGACAAGUGAAGCCUGUGAUUUUACUCAAAUUUACGGAAUUAUAUCCCGGAUAUGAUGGCAAGGCUUUGCAUAUAGUAUAUAUAGUUGUAUAAUGUACAAUGAUUUAUGGCCGUUCCUGUCAGCAUUUGAGACCCGCGUUCGGGGAACUUGUGUCCGAUUCGCAUUACGGGAGUUUCCAAGAGAAGUAACAAAAUGACCCAGCACCCGAAAUAAUAUCAAAACACUUCAACACAGCUUCCAUUUGCGCUAUUUGUGUCUGUUUAUGUUCUGAUUUGUUUCGUGUUAUAUCAUCUGCCAUGUUAUCUGUGUCUAUUAUGCACUACUGAUGUACAGUGAAGAUUCUCACCGCUGCAUUGUCACAGGCCACGACUCAACAUCAGACUCAUCCGCGCAGUUGAGCAGUGCCGAAUCACAACUCACGUAAAGAAAUAACUCCGCACAUCACCUGCAGUAGCAAUUACAAACUGAGAUGGAGACAAAGAGGCCAAUCCUACGGACUGCCGCUUUAAGCAAGAAGGACUGAGACCACCAAAAGAAUAAAAAAAUGAUUCAGAUUUUCAGUUGCUAUCUUUAAUCAGUCUGACAUACAAUCAGAAAGUGGUAGUGCUAUCAGUUAAUUCAGGCAUUUCCUCUGACAAGGUAUCAUAUUGAUAACUAUAUUUUUGGUUAAAACCUCCAUAAUGUGCAUUUCCAGUAUGCAUGCAGUAUAUAAAAAUAAAAUAAUGCACGCCUAAAAACAUUGUAAUGUCUGUCACUUUCCACAGUCAAAUCCCACAGCCAGUUGCCCAAGAAAGAAAACUAGCAAAACCAGAUGAAACAGAAGUCAUUCAUUACACCUGAGUCAGAUGUCAUUGAGAUUACCCAAACACCAAGAAUCUCUAACUCAGCGGUCAUGAGAAAUAUUCAUCUGGCCUGGGUGAAGGAGAACCAACGCCACUUUGCUGGGAAGAUUGAACUGCCAAAGAUUUUAAGAAUGAAGGAGGAUGAUGCCUUGUUGGCUAUCACAAUUUGUGACUUAUUUAUAAACACAUUAUAUGAAGGUGACAUGGUCGAAGAAGAAAUCCGGGCUCCUUCCUUAUUCAAUUUUCAGAGACUAUAGAGGACAUGGAAUUUGCAGGAAAUACGAGACAAAAUAAAUAUAUGUGCAUCUUGUUUCUUCAACCCUGACUUGUGAAUAU